UCAAGCGACUAAGUGCAUGUGGUGGAUGCCUUGGCGAUCACAGGCGAUGAAGGACGUGUAAGCCUGCGAAAAGCGUGGGGGAGCUGGCAAUAGAGCUUUGAUCCCACGAUGUCCGAAUGGGGAAACCCACCCCGCAAGGGGUAUCCCAGACUGAAUACAUAGGUCUGAGGAGGCGAACCGAGCGAACUGAAACAUCUAAGUAGCUCGAGGAACAGAAAUCAACCGAGAUUCCGCAAGUAGUGGCGAGCGAACGCGGAACAGCCUGCACGACUAAACCAUCAGCUUAGCAAAACGGUCUGGAAAGUCCGACGAUACAGGGUGAUAGUCCCGUAUGCGAAAAGCCGGUGGCGGGUCUGAGCGUGCGACAAGUAGGGCGGGACACGAGAAAUCCUGUCUGAAGAUGGGGGGACCAUCCUCCAAGGCUAAAUACUCGUGAUCGACCGAUAGUGAACCAGUACCGUGAGGGAAAGGCGAAAAGAACCCCGGGAGGGGAGUGAAAUAGAUCCUGAAACCGCAUGCAUACAAACAGUGGGAGCCUCGUAAGGGGUGACUGCGUACCUUUUGUAUAAUGGGUCAGCGACUUACGUUCUGUAGCGAGCUUAACCGAGUAGGGGAGGCGUAGCGAAAGCGAGUCUGAUAAGGGCGACUGAGUUGCAGGGCGUAGACCCGAAACCGGAUGAUCUAUCCAUGGCCAGGAUGAAGGUGCCGUAACAGGUACUGGAGGUCCGAACCCACUAACGUUGAAAAGUUAGGGGAUGAGCUGUGGAUAGGGGUGAAAGGCUAAACAAAUCCGGAAAUAGCUGGUUCUCCCCGAAAACUAUUUAGGUAGUGCGUCGUACGGACACUUGCGGGGGUAGAGCACUGUAAUCGUUGGGGGGGUCAUUGCGAUCUACCCCGCGAUAGCAAACUCCGAAUACCGCAAAGUGAUAUACGGCAGACAGACAUCGGGUGCUAACGUCCGGUGUCAAGAGGGAAACAACCCAGACCGCCAGCUAAGGUCCCAAAUGCAUGGCUAAGUGGCAAACGAGGUGGGAAGGCAUAGACAGCUAGGAGGUUGGCUUAGAAGCAGCCACCCUUUAAAGAAAGCGUAAUAGCUCACUAGUCGAGUCGUCCUGCGCGGAAGAUGUAACGGGGCUCAAGCCAUGAACCGAAGCUGCGGAUGUGUCUUUGACACGUGGUAGGGGAGCGUUCCGUAAGCCUGCGAAGGUGUCUCGUAAGGGAUGCUGGAGGUAUCGGAAGUGCGAAUGCUGACAUGAGUAGCGAUAAAGGGUGUGAAAAGCACCCUCGCCGUAAGCCCAAGGUUUCCUGCGCAACGUUCAUCGGCGCAGGGUGAGUCGGCCCCUAAGGCGAGGCAGAAAUGCGUAGUCGAUGGGAAACAGGUCAAUAUUCCUGUACCGCUCUAUGAUGCGAUGGGGGGACGGAGAAGGUUAGCUCGGCCAUCUGUUGGAAUAGGUGGUUUAAGCGUGUAGGCGUGCCGCGUAGGCAAAUCCGCGUGGCUUAGCUGAGGCGUGAUGACGAGGAUCCUCGGAUCCGAAGUGAGUGAUACCCAGCUUCCAGGAAAAGCCUCUAAGCUUCAGUCAUAGAGUGACCGUACCGCAAACCGACACAGGUGGGCUGGUAGAGAAUACCAAGGCGCUUGAGAGAACUCAGGAGAAGGAACUCGGCAAAUUGAUACCGUAACUUCGGGAGAAGGUAUGCCCCUGGUACGUGAAGGCCCUCGCGGCCGGAGCGGAACGGGGUCGCAGAGAAUCGGUGGCUGCGACUGUUUAUUAAAAACACAGCACUCUGCAAACACGAAAGUGGACGUAUAGGGUGUGACGCCUGCCCGGUGCCGGAAGGUUAAGUGAUGGGGUGCAAGCUCUUGAUCGAAGCCCCGGUAAACGGCGGCCGUAACUAUAACGGUCCUAAGGUAGCGAAAUUCCUUGUCGGGUAAGUUCCNNNNNNNNNNNNNNNNNNNNNNNNNNNNNNNNNNNNNNGGCGGCCGUAACUAUAACGGUCCUAAGGUAGCGAAAUUCCUUGUCGGGUAAGUUCCGACCUGCACGAAUGGCGUAACGAUGGCCACACUGUCUCCUCCUGAGACUCAGCGAAGUUGAAAUGUUUGUGAAGAUGCAAUCUCCCCGCGGCUAGACGGAAAGACCCCAUGAACCUUUACUGUAGCUUUGCAUUGGACUUUGACGGGACUUGUGUAGGAUAGGUGGGAGGCUAUGAAGCCAGAACGCUAGUUCUGGUGGAGCCGUCCUUGAAAUACCACCCUGGUGUCGUCGAGGUUCUAACCCAGGCCUGUGAAUCCAGGUCGGGGACCGUGCAUGGUGGGCAGUUUGACUGGGGCGGUCUCCUCCCAAAAGGUAACGGAGGAGUACGAAGGUCACCUAGGUACGGUCGGACAUCGUACUGAUAGUGCAAUGGCAAAAGGUGGCUUGACUGCGAGACCCACAAGUCGAGCAGGUGCGAAAGCAGGUCAUAGUGAUCCGGUGGUUCUGUAUGGAAGGGCCAUCGCUCAACGGAUAAAAGGUACUCUGGGGAUAACAGGCUGAUUCCGCCCAAGAGUUCACAUCGACGGCGGAGUUUGGCACCUCGAUGUCGGCUCAUCACAUCCUGGGGCUGUAGCCGGUCCCAAGGGUAUGGCUGUUCGCCAUUUAAAGUGGUACGUGAGCUGGGUUUAAAACGUCGUGAGACAGUUUGGUCCCUAUCUGCCGUGGGCGCUGGAAGUUUGAGAGGGCCUGCUCCUAGUACGAGAGGACCGGAGUGGACGCACCCCUGGUGUACCGGUUGUGACGCCAGUCGCAUCGCCGGGUAGCUAUGUGCGGAAGAGAUAACCGCUGAAAGCAUCUAAGCGGGAAACUCGCCUCAAGAUGAGACUUCCCCGGGGCCUCGAGCCCCCUGAAGGGUCGUUGAAGACCACAACGUUGAUAGGCCGGGUGUGUAAGCGUGGCAACACGUUCAGCUAACCGGUACUAAUUGCCCGUGUGGCUUGAUCCU
rnacentral:rRNA from 1 species